UACGGAGGGUGCAAGCGUUAUCCGGAUUUACUGGGUUUAAAGGGUGCGUAGGUGGAUAAUUAAGUCAGUGGUGAAAUCUUCAGGCUUAACCUGGAAACUGCCAUUGAUACUAUUUAUCUUGAAUACUUUGGAGGUAAGCGGAAUAUGUCAUGUAGCGGUGAAAUGCUUAGAUAUGACAUAGAACACCAAUUGCGAAGGCAGCUGACUACGCGAAUAUUGACACUGAUGCACGAAAGCGUGGGGAGCGAACAGG
rnacentral:rRNA from 1 species